CAUCAUAGAAUGGUUCCUGAGAGACACCCUGCAGGACCCCAUGACCUCAUCAGGUGGGGCACAACGCUUAACAAAGCAUCCCCGAUCAGCUCACCAUGCUGUGACCACCUGCAACGCUACCCUCCAAGCCUGCGGAUAAAGCAGUGUUUACAAAAAGCUCCAUACUCCUCUGGGUACCACACCAAGCGUGUUUGCAUGUUGUUCAGUGUCCAGGAACUGAGCACGGAGAGCUUGUGGGUGGCAGUGAUGGAACCAAUGAAGGUGAUUCAGUAAAGAGAAUGCUUGCUAGGGAGGAGGGCUCAUCGUCUCUAAAUAAUUUUUCCCCUGCCAUCAAUAAAAAUGUACUUGGAAGAGAUUCUAGAAAUGCGUUAGCUGGUGACGUCUAUUUUUAGAGGCAGCGGAUAGAAACAAAUACGUUUUGCAUGAAAAUGGAUUAAAUAAAAACAAGGCUGUAUCCCUGGACAUGGGUAGCAGGACAUGUAUAGGACAAAUUCCCCUCAGAAAGCUUGCCUGAUGAAAUACGUUUUAUGGGUUAUUACAUUGUUUUGACGGUUAAUAGAAAUGCAAUCAGACCUCCGAAUGACGAGUAAAACUAUAAGAAGGAAGCCUUGCUUUUCCCCAGGGUGUUCAGCGGGCAGAGAUGAUCCUACGCUCUCCAUAAAAUCACAAUACAAGUGGCUCAGGACAACAAGAAAAGCAGCCCUUCCUUAGCUCUAUAAAGAAGAACACUUUGGGAAGUUUGAGGGUGGGAUGACCUACAAGAACAUACCAACAGGUGCAGGCUCAAAGUAGGAGAUUUUAUCGGAACGUCUCUUUCAGUGCAAAGGUUCCAAUUAGUUUUUGCUUUCACAGCAAUAAUCUCUCCUUACUAUUCAGAUCUCCUCAUGUGCACUUCCAGACCCUGCGAUCCAGACAGCGUACUGAUUGUUCUUGGACAUUAACAACAAUAGGGAAAUUUAUAGCAACCAGCCACAAACACCAACAGGGCUGUGACACCUGCCUUUGCAGAGUGCCCUGCUAAGCUAAACAAUCAGGGUGCAUGAUUAAAAACAACUGGCCUUUCCUUUUCCUCCCAGCUUUCCAGGUAGUUCAAAUCACAGUGACGUACAGCUACCCAGCAGUGUCCUUUCUUGAGCAAUACAUAACAGGUACAUAAGCGCAGCAGGUUUCCUUAAAGACCCACUCCUGAAAGCUUUCAGCUGUACGCUGUGAUUAUACAACGCGAUGACAGUCCCAAGUGAAAUCACUGACACCACUGCUUGCACAAGAUUAAAUAAACGCAUGCUUGCAUGAACACAGUCCGCGUGUGAAUAGGAAAAGUUGGAAAACAUAAUUCUUGAGGGCAAAUCUGUUACUUGCCUUCUAUUUACCAACGCACAUAAAGCUGUAGACUUCAAUUUCAGAUGUUGACGUAUUUAAAAUUAACUCCUUUUGCAGACUUAAGUACUCUAGAAUGAUUUACCUUCGGGUUCCAAAGUGGCAUCUUCAACAACUAAGUUAAAUGACGGUCGAGCCAGGGAAAGUCCAGCCAUGGUGACCACCACCAGGCAGAUAAGGCAACACAAAUCCCAGCUGACCAUCUUUUUAGAGUAAGUUCCUGGUCCGUUUCCAUAUCUCCAUGUGGACUUUAAUCCCAUCUGAGCACCUCUACAGGAGCAUGGACAGAACGCAGUGCCUUCGGCCAGGGCAAUCCCUCCUCACCGGGAACAGUGGUGGCUGCGGGGAGAGAGAUUAAAUGCUGUCAGCAAAACCAUCCUACAUGCAAACCGAAAAACCCCACAAAGCCCCAAACAGAGCUGAGGAGGAGGGGGGAGGAGGAGGAGGAGGAUGGGAAAAAUACUUUUCCAGCUUCAAAUAUACGUGAAAAGUGAGUGACUUUUCAUUUUCUGUUAGCAGUUUCCAUCAUCACCCGAGGUGUAACCAAGUCCUCCUUGUUUUCACAAAAUCACUUCUCAGCACGUAUUUAGAGAGCUAUUU
ensembl:lncRNA